rnacentral:rRNA from 1 species
UUGGCUAUUCCGAGGGCAUGCCUGUUUGAGUAUCAUGAACACCUCAACUCUCAUGGUUUGCCAUGAUGAGCUUGGACUUUGGGGGUCUUGCCGGCUUGCAGUCGGCUCCUCUCAAAUCAAUCAGCUUGCCAGUGUUUGGUGGCAUCACAGGUGUGAUAACUAUCUACGCUUGUGGUUUUCUACCAAGUAGCCUUCAGUGAUGGAGGUUCGCUGGAGCUCAUAAAUGUCUCUCCUCAGCGAAGACAAUUUCGUGAACGUUUGAUCUCAAAUCAGGUAGGACUACCCGCUGAACUUAAGCAUAUCAAUAAGCGGAGG